rnacentral:rRNA from 1 species
CACGUAGGGCGCAAGCGUUGUCCGGAAUUAUUGGGCGUAAAGAGCUCGUAGGCGGACUGUUGCGUCCGCUGUGAAAAGCUGGGGCUUAACCCUGGCCUUGCAGUGGAUACGGGCAGACUAGAGGUAGGUAGGGGAGAAUGGAAUUCCCGGUGUAGCGGUGAAAUGCGCAGAUAUCGGGAGGAACACCGGUGGCGAAGGCGGGUCUCUGGACAGUUCCUGACGCUGAGGCACGAAGGCCAGGGGAGCAAACGGG